ACCACUAGCCUGGGUGCCAGCCGAACUUAGCCCCGCCCACAAUGAGGUCGGGAAGUUUGGUCUGGACUUGAUCAGUUGUGCAGCAACUAUUCUUGAACCAGACCUGUUCGGACCAAUCACAUUGUCAGGGCGGGCUUUAUACGAUGAUGGACAGAUGACCUACAGUAACGUGAUCACCCACGUCACCAAAGAACGCUUGAAUUGAGAUGUGCAGAUUCCACCAUGGCGUCUGUUACAGAAGAUAUCAACAGCGCAUUUAUUUUAAAAGAGGAACAGAGAACUGCCAUCAAGGCGUUUGUCCAUCAGAAAGAUGUUUUUGCCGUCCUUCCUACGGGAUUUGGCAAAAGAUCAACCUACGUCAUAUACUCUGUUGCUCUGAUUGGUUGUAGGUCUAUCUGUUGCUCUGUUUAGUUGUAGGUCUAUCCAAUUAAGUGCAGAGGCAUUUUCUUCCCUGGUUUGGAUGAAACACCCCCCAUAAUCACAGCCCAAUGGAGCAGAAUCAGACUCAUAUUCUGACUAGAAUCUGAGUAUGUACUCAGUACUAAAAUACCACUGUAGUAUUAUGUGUGUGCUAUUUGAGUUUUAAAAUUAGUUAUUGUCUUCAUAUCAUACUGCACAUAUGGCUGCCUACUGUCAGUCACCUGACAGCCACAGAAGAAUAAAACUUGUCAACUUACAAGACAGUGAGAUGCGUUUAAGAACUUUGGAAAAUGCCGACCUUAAGUGACAUUAUUAUGUCACAAAAUGAUGGGGAAGAGAUUGCCUCUACAUAGAAUAUAAAAAUGAAAAAUGGCAGAGAGAUGUCUUGAUUACGUUGCAUUAAUCAGGGGAUUUAGUUUGUCUUUGCAACGAACAUAAAAAACAGACUACACUAGCUUCACUACCCAUGGAAAAGCAUGUGCAUCACUGUGUCAGUGGCUGCUUUUGGUACUUUUCUAUAGGUAUGGGCGAUAUGGCCUAAAAUCCAUAUUGCCAUAUACAUUGCAGCCUCUUACAAUAACGAUAUGUAUCACGAAAUAUAAAUUAUAAUAGAACCAUUUUGGACCAGGUUACAUAGACCCUGAGGAAAGCCAUACUGCUAAAUGUAUUGUUCCUAAAGAGAAAGAAACGUAGUAGGUAGUUUUGAGAACAUUUAUUGUGCAAAACUGUAAUUAUACAACAUAAUGUUGCAGUAAGUACUCUAGUUGCAGAGACUUGCAGAGAAGAAAAAAAAGUGUUGGGUUACUUCACGUUAGUACAAACCAUUCUAAAAGGCACUACACUUAGUUAGUUAAAGUCUUCGGUUCUCAAAAGCCACCGAAGAUGCAGAGAACAGGAAAAACUGGUGUCUUUUUAGUUAAGGAACAGACACUGUACUGAAAAUACUUUCAGUGGUAGGUAAAGA